rnacentral:lncRNA from 1 species
CUUAUAUACCUGAUUUCAAGCUUGCAUUUGAUCAUUUCUGCAUUCAUGCUGAUGGGAGAGCUGUGAUUAAUGAGCUUGAGAAGAAUCUUCAGCUUCUGCCUAUGCAUGUUGAGGAAGAAUGAGGAAGGGGAAUAGGGUGUAAACCUUAGACUUCGACGGUCAGUAUGUACUCGAAGCCAUGCAUCAUAUCCCUCCAACUCCUUCCAUGGCUGCUGCAAGAGAAGAAUCUGAGAAUGUUAUGUUUGGUGCUUUGGAUAAUCUCUUUGCUAAUACAAAGAUUAAGCCUAAGGAUAUUGGUGUUCUUGUUGUGAAUUGCAGUUUGUUUAACCCAACUCCUUCACUUUCUGCAAUGAUUGUGAACAAGUACAAGCUUAGGGGUAACAUUAGAAGCUUCAAGUUCAUAGGAACACUUUCUUGCCAAGGACAUGCUUCAAGUUCAUAGGAACACUUAUGCUGUUGUUGUUAGCACUGAGAACAUUACUCAGAAUUGGUACUUUGGGAACAAGAAAUCUAUGCUGAUCCCAAAUUGUUUGUUCCGUGUUGGUGGUUCUGCUGUUUUGUUGUCCAACAAAGGCUCUGUUAAGAGAAGAGCAAAGUACAAGCUUGUUCAUGUUGUGAGGACUCAUAAGGGUGCUGAUGAUAAAGCUUUCAGGUGUGUGUAUCAAGAACAAGAUGAUGAUGGCAAAACUGGUGUUUCUCUCUCAAAGGAUCUUAUGGCUAUUGCUGGUGGGGCUUUGAAGACUAACAUCACAACUUUGGGGCCUCUUGUUCUUCCAAUAAGUGAACAGCUUCUGUUCUUUGCUACUUUGGUUGAAGCUUCUGAAUGCAAAAGUGAAGCCUUAUAUACCUGAUUUCAAGCUUGCAUUUGAUCAUUUCUGCAUUCAUGCUGGUGGGAGAGCUGUGAUUGAUGAGCUUGAGAAGAAUCUUCAGCUUCUGCCUAUGCAUGUUGAGGAAGAAUGAGGAAGGGGAAUAGGGUGUGGCAGAUUGCAUUUGGAAGUGGAUUUAAGUGUAACAGGGCAGUGUGGCAGGCACUUAGGCAUGUCAAGGCUUCAC